rnacentral:rRNA from 1 species
UACGUAAGGGGCUAGCGUUGUUCGGAAUCAUUGGGCGUAAAGGGCGUGUAGGCGGUUUAAUAAGUUGGAUGUGAAAUCCCAGAGCUUAACUCUGGAACUGCGUUCAAAACUAUUAGACUAGAGUUCGGGAGAGGUUAUCGGAAUUCCUGGUGUAGGGGUGAAAUCUAUAGAUAUCAGGAGGAACACCGGUGGCGAAGGCGGAUAACUGGCCUUGAACUGACGCUGAGGCGCGAAAGCUAGGGGAG